rnacentral:rRNA from 1 species
UACGGAGGAUCCAAGCGUUAUCCGGAUUCAUUGGGUUUAAAGGGUGCGUAGGCGGAAUGGUAAGUCAGAGGUGAAAGCCUGCAGCUUAACUGCAGAAUUGCCUUUGAUACUGCCAAUCUUGAGUACAUUUGAAGUGGGCGGAAUGUGUCAUGUAGCGGUGAAAUGCUUAGAUAUGACCCAGAACACCGAUUGCGAAGGCAGCUCACUAAACUGUAACUGACGCUGAGGCACGAAAGCGUGGGGAUCAAACAGGAUUAGAUACCCUUGUAGU